GCUAAUUAAGGGGUCGAGCAUGGAUUUAUAAGCAAGGAAUACAUCUCCAGUAGUACGAGUCCUUUUGGGGAACCAAAAGCAAAGUCACGAGAGCUUAUGCUCAAAGUAGACAAUAUCAUACCAUUAUAGAGAGUCGUGGUUCCUAACAUGGUAUCAGAGUCAU